CUUGUUUUUAUUUCUCAUGAACAAUUUUUAAAUUUUCGAACACUCGUAAAAAUAAUUUUUUAUCUGGUUACUUAGAAUAUUUAUUAUUUAUCAAAAGCCACGUCUUAGUGGAAAGGAAUACAUCUCUCGACAAGGUAAUAAGUAAUACAAUAUAAUUUAAUAAAUAAACAAUUUACCAAGAGAAGACGAUUAUUUUAACACAUUAUUCCCAACGAAAAAAUGAAUUUUUGUAAAAACAAAAAAAUUUCACUUUGAAAUUAAUUGAAACGUGUAUAGAAGUAGAA